AGAGUUUGAUCAUGGCUCAGAACGAACGCUGGCGGCGUGCUUAACACAUGCAAGUCGAACGAGAAAGUCCUGCUUCGGCGGGGCUAGUAAAGUGGCGCACGGGUGAGUAACGCGUGGGUAACCUGCCCUUAAGACUGGGAUAACUUCGCGAAAGCGUUGCUAAUACCGGAUAUCGUCCACGGAACUCCGGUUUUGUGGAUGAAAGGUGACCUCUUCAUGAAAGUUGCCGCUUAGGGAUGGGCUCGCGUACCAUUAGCUUGUUGGUGGGGUAAAGGCCUACCAAGGCGACGAUGGUUAGCUGGUCUGAGAGGAUGAUCAGCCACACUGGCACUGAAACACGGGCCAGACUCCUACGGGAGGCAGCAGUGAGGAAUUUUGCGCAAUGGGGGUAACCCUGACGCAGCAACGCCGCGUGAGUGAAGAAGGCCUUCGGGUCGUAAAGCUCUGUCAAGUGGGAAAAAAGUCCAGGCAUCAAUAGUGCCCGGAUGUGAUGGUACCACUGAAGGAAGCACCGGCUAACUCCGUGCCAGCAGCCGCGGUAAUACGGAGGGUGCAAGCGUUGUUCGGAAUUACUGGGCGUAAAGGGCGUGCAGGCGGGAUGGUAAGUCGGAUGUGAAAGCCCAGGGCUUAACCCUGGAAGUGCAUUCGAUACUGCCACCCUAGAGUAUGGGAGAGGAGAGUGGAAUUCCGAGUGUAGAGGUGAAACUCGUAGAUAUUCGGAGGAACACCCGUGGCGAAGGCGACUCUCUGGACCAAUACUGACGCUGAGACGCGAAAGCGUGGGGAGCAAACAGGAUUAGAUACCCUGGUAGUCCACGCUGUAAACGAUGAGAACUAGGUGUAGCGGGUAUUGACCCCUGCUGUGCCGCAGUUAACGCAUUAAGUUCUCCGCCUGGGGAGUACGGCCGCAAGGUUAAAACUCAAAGGAACUGACGGGGGCCCGCACAAGCGGUGGAGCAUGUGGUUUAAUUCGACGCAACGGGAAAAACCUUACUUGGGCUUGACAUCUUUCGACGGCUUUGGAAACAGGGUUUUCCCGAUUUUGUCGGGACGGAGUGACAGGUGCUGCUGGUUGUCGUCAGCUCGUGUCGUGAGAUGUUGGGUUAAGUCCCGCAACGAGCGCAACCCUUGUUUUUAGUUGCCAUAUUAAGUUAGGCACUCUAAAAAGACUGCUUCGGUUAACGGGGAGGAAGGUGGGGAU
rnacentral:rRNA from 1 species